rnacentral:lncRNA from 10 species
GACACUCCACUAGUCAGGGAAAUGAGGUGGAACCAGCAAAGAAGACAGAAACAACAGCCACAGAGCUAAAAAGGAGAAGCAAGUGAGUCUCCAAAACUAAGUGAAAAAGAUGUGUUUUGAAGAAAAGGGAGUGAGCAACUGUGUUGAGUGCUGAAGACAGGUCAAGUAUAAAGAGGGCUGAGAUUGGACCACUGGAUUUGGCAGCAUGGAGGUACCUGAUGCCACCAAUUCCUGAGUUUUUCUGCUGUUCAGUGGAGUGGACUAUCGCCUUCAAAUUAGCCUGGCCCUGGGCAGGAAAUGAAGACCCUGAAUCAGCCCAUCAGAAGCAGGAGAUCCCUUUCGUCGACCUUCUCAUUCCAUCUCUAUGCUGGAGCAUUCUUGUGACCUAACCAUAUUGAAACUGCCUUUGCAAAAUAUGACUGAGACAGUGAAAGAGCAACAUGGUGUAGUGAAAAGAAAGCAGGCUUUGGAAUGGAUAGAACUAUACUUGAAUCUCUGCUCUAUCACCUUAUCAUGUUAUGUCAAGCAAGUUACGGAACCUCCAUCAUUUGUCAGGUAGGGAAAUCU